rnacentral:rRNA from 1 species
UACGUAGGGACCAAGCGUUGUUCGGAUUUACUGGGCGUAAAGGGCGCGUAGGCGGCGUGACAAGUCACUUGUGAAAUCUCUGAGCUUAACUCAGAACGGCCAAGUGAAACUGUUGUGCUAGAGUGCAGAAGGGGCAAUCGGAAUUCUUGGUGUAGCGGUGAAAUGCGUAGAUAUCAAGAGGAACACCUGCGGCGAAGGCGGGUUGCUGGGCCGACACUGACGCUGAGGCGCGAAAGCCAGGGGAGCGAACGGG